ensembl:lncRNA
ACAACCCAUUGGAACCAGACUGCAGAUCAUGUUGAUGAGUGGAUCUGCUCCAAGACGACUUGUGUUUGCAACAGCGUCCUGUUAUCAGGCGCACGGUACUGUUUAGCGCCGGCAGAGCUCAACAUCAGCCGUGGAGAGAGAAUGACCAGCGUGCACCGCUGCACCGUCAAUGAGGACAUCACCUUUGGGCAGCAGAAGGCGGAAGAGAGACCGUGCUCGGGGGGGAAAAGGACCAGCGUGGUCACGAGGCUCUGAGUGCGAUCGCUUCACCAGAGCACAAUUUAAAAUACUGCUCUUACCACAAGUGACAGUAUUCGUGCCUUGAGGUGAACAGGAGGAGUAGACGGGGGUCCAGUCCAUGUGACAAUAACAACUUCAUCCAAACCACAGCAGGGCGUUACAUCCAUGAACCUUAAACAGGCCGGUGGCUGCUGCUGCUGCUGCUGCUGCUGCAUUGACCGGAGCAGCCGCCCGCUGUGCAAGCUUCAGGGCCGACAGGAGAAACGUCCCCAACGCUCCGGGCCUGGAAGUGCCUCGGUGAAUUCCCCUGCAAUGUUGCCCGAGGUUGGAAAUCGCACACAGGCAUCCGCACACGUCCGCACACCCUGAGCGGCGAGAGGCCCAGAUCCACUGUGACUACUUCCCCUUCCCCCCUUUCCCCUCAUCCCCCGAGGAAAAACAAAACGCACGGCCAUGUUCAUUUGUUUUUCUAUUUUUCUCAUCGCUCUCCCACAUUUCUCUUCGUUUCUAAAGAGUUGCAGCCUCCGGCUCCCACGCUGUCCCUCCCUCUCCUCCUCUCCCUCUCCCUCCUCUCCCUCUCCCUGGUGGGGAUGGAGGCUGAUGGGAGCUGACGUGAUGGCGCCAUUGUCUUCGCCGUCGAGUUAAUGUGACCCCGGGGGGCGCCGUGCCUGUAUGCUUGGCCCGAUGUUGCAGAGCGUAAAGCGCGGGGUUGUGGAGGAAGGGAGGGAGGGAGGGUGGGAGAGGGGUGAGAAAGAAACAAGGAGGAAACAGCUGUGCGUGGAGGUAGACUGAGAAAUGCAGAAUAGUGGGACAGGAGCAAACUGCACACAGGCAUCGAUGGGGCCUGGGAAGGACCUUAUGAAUGAUCGGGUAUUGGUAGAUGAGUUAUGAUGACCUUAAAUGUGUGUGAUGUGUAGAUUGCACUGAGAAAUGUGAAAGUAGUCUCAAAUAAACACUAACUUGGAUUUAGGCAUCAUACUUAAAUACUUGUGUAAUUACCAUUUACUUUGCUCUAACUUUUUCACUUUAAAUCCUUAGGCUCCAUUCAUGCUUAUUAAAGUAAAGAUAAAGAUUUGGUCUUCAUAUCGGAAACCGACAAAAGCAAGAUGAACUCACAAUUUUGCCAAAAAUAAUAAAACUGGAGAUAUGAAACUUCUCAACCAAACGCGUCUCAAGAUUGUGCCAAAACGCAAAUUAUCCCAGUAUUCAUAAUAAGGUUACUUUGACUUUUUUCUGAUACAUUUCAGCUCUAAUUAGCUUUCUAAUGUUUGGUUCCCUGUUGCUACGUGCAGGCGCAAACAAUUCGACCGUUUGGAAAACAUGCUCAUUGGCAUUCAUGCAUUUAGAGUCAGACGAGAAGAUUGACACCACUUUCAGGUGUGAGGACUUAAAAGGUCAGAGUCCGUGACGUGACGCCGUCCCCGAGACUUGCGUCGGGAAAGAGACGUCCGUAACUUAAUUAACUGUCGGCAGUUGGCACUACCAACCCUUAAAUCAAGGUUCAAACGCUGUUUAAAUAAGUUAUUAUCUUCUUUCGUUUCUGUGAAUGAGCCUAAGAACGACUCUGGGCCCAACGGAGUAGUGCAGAAGCAAUGCGAUGGCCCUGAGGAUGGGAAGGGUUAUUUUAUUCAAACUACUCCUUCUGCCGUGCUGAUGACCCAGCGUACACAAUUUCACCUGGGUUCACCAAGAGAACACAAAGGCUUUCUGAAAGGGAUCCGGCAUGUGAGACCUAUUCAGAGACCGAAUUGAGCCCGCCUGCUCUGAGAUCAGGUGCAUGAGACUUGUUCUGGUUUCCCAUGCUGGUCCUGUGAGGCCUGCAACCGUGUUAAAGCCAGAAAAACCUUUGCGGCUGUGUGACAAACGGGAGCCUGAGAGUGACAGGCGUCCUUUCAGCCCUGUCUGUAUAUACUUUAUAUGAUCAAUGUAAAAUACCCUUUACAGGAGUAAAGCUGGAGUACAACAGUGACCUUUACCUAAAAGACUGGUGGGUUUUGCUACGCUGAUUUUCUCCUGAAUCUUAUCGAAAAAACAGUCCUUUUCAUCUUCAUCUAAAUCUGAACGUGUUUAAUAUUCCAACUGUCCCAAACCCUGGCAUUUAGCUAACACCAAAGCUCCUGGUUAGUAUGUUGUUAGUAUGUAACCGUGUGCAGCGGGCCGCUCCCCCACGCCUGGCGCUCAGACGGUCACCUCAGUCGAGCUGUGGGUGGAGUAGCUCUUCUGCCUGUUGUGGUGGUAGUAGGAAGGUUGGGAUGGCUGCCCCCCCUGCACGUGCUGCCCUCCCAGUAUGUGCUGCCCCCCCUGUAUGUGCUGCCCCUGGACGUGCUGCUGCCCCAGUAUGGGCUGCUGCCCCGGCCCCGCGCCCCCUCCACCUGCUCCAUACAUCCCUCCGUAGGGCUGGCCAAAGAGGUCCUGCAUGUUCUCUAUACUCCGCUGCCUCCGGGUGGAGUAGCCGUGCCUCCGGCCGGAGCUUUGCGCGGUGGAGGUGGCGUGUGCCGGGGCGGAGGCCUGUCUCUGGACGUGGCGCCCGGUCGACUCCCAGGCUUUGAAGGCCGAGCCGGAGAGCAGCGGGUGAGUGGUGGUUUUGGGCAGGCGCGACUGCUCCGGGUGGUCGGAGGGGAUGGAGAUGGAGAGGGGGGCGUGGAGGUCGUGGUGCGCCGACACGGGCUGGUGGAUGUAGGAUUUCUCUUUGUGCUGCACGGGCACGGGCUGGAAGCUGGGAGGGGCCACAGGCUGGUCCUGGGAGAAGUCCAUGAGCGGGAAGCUCUUGUAGUAGGUACGAGACGCGCUGUGCGCUGCAACGGAGGAGAGGAGGCGAGAAAAAGUGUCAUUCAUCAGUCAGCCGAACUAAACAUUAGACUCAUUUGCGUGUGAAUUAUUAAACUGUCACUGACGUGUUGGAAACAACAGUUUACAGAACUCUGGUAGAAACCAAAGAUAGAAAGUAUCGAGCGCUCCGAUUAAAAGGCUGAGUCCUCGGUGGGAUUUUAUUUGUGUAUCUUGGGCGGUUGCCCCCCCACCAAACAUCCCCCCAAAGUAAUCUUCUUACCAUGCUCUGUUCUUAACAUUUAACAAUUAGGCCAUUUCAGCAAACACAUGCUAUAUUUGUUUAAUGUGUUUAUAUUUAAGAGUCACUUUCGAUUUGUCUCAGACGGAUGCGGUUCUGAGUCACGUGCAGAAGUAGACUUCAGUGAACUUUCAGUGUGUAAACACAGAGCGUGUCAUUGCAGAAUCCCACAAGUAAUCCAUGAUGCAUUUUUAUUUAGGCCUCCAGGCUCCGACCCGUCAGCUCUUAAAGGGACACCAUAGAACUUCUCACAUAUCAAACCUGCUCUCACCUUAAUGCAUUCAUGGGUUUUGCCCCUUUAAGCCUCACUUGCUCUGUUAUGACCAGUAGCUUGUGGUGGCUAAUGUUAGCUUAUGCACAAUAUGAUCGUUUAUCAAGUAAUAAUUAAAAAGUGUAAAGGCAGUGGGUCCAGCAGGAAGGGGCAGCGAGAGUUUUCAGAACCACAGACGAGAGGGAACAUUUUCUUCCUGCACUUUUGGCGUCCAGAAAAGGUGAAAUUUAUCAAAGUACUUUGAAUGAGUUGGAAGAUCCAACUCAGAGAGAAUCAGAGGACAGCGAGGAAGAGAGGGGCGGUUUGAACAAUUUAAGAACGUCCGAUUGGUCUUUGACCUUGGGGGGGUGGGGGGGAGUAGCGGUGUUCCUUUCUUGCUGCCGAGGGCCGGGAGAGCGACCAGGGGGGAGAAACUGAGGAGUGCACCGGGGAAGAUGGAGGUAAAGGUAUGCAGGGACAUUGCAAUGAAGGUUUAUUAAUAACCUCGCCGCAAGUCCAGACUGGGCACGCGUGUAUGCAAGUGUGUGUCAUGGGCUGGCAUAGAUGUCAGAGGGAAUCAUUUAAAUAAGCCAUAAACUGAGGUCAUCGCCGCCAGCUUGCCGGCGACGUGAACAGUGACCUUGUCUCUGUGGGUUUUAUCAUUUUUGUCCGAAUGUCGGACUCCUCAAAGAACAGCUGUUUAUUCAAAUGCAACUAUUGGUUUUACAGCUGAAAAAUAAAAAAAAAUUGAAGAAAGAUCUUUUGAAGUUGUAUAAUAUCUAAAAGUCCUGUUUACAGGCUAUUUUGUCCAAAGCAGUCGCCUUUGUCCAUUGAUGCCUUUUUUAAUGAUGGUGAUACUCUUCAACCACUUCUGAAUAUUUAUUCUAAAGCAUACAGCCGUCAAUUGUAUUUGAACUCCCUUAAAGUGAAUUUGUGUUUUAUAAUGACUUAACUGGAUGCAUUAAAUGCCACCGUGAGAUCACAUUUAGAGCCAGUUAAGGCUGACAUCAAUUACCUGGCGUAGGUCUGGAGCCUUUGCUCUGUCUCUGCUGAGAAAAGAGUGUUUUGCUCUUGAGCUCAGUCAACCUUCCACGGUUAAUAAAGGUUAAACAAUCAACCUUGACCAGUAAGUGAUUUGCCUUUGGCUCAUUUGAAGGUUUUGGUCUUUACGCCGUUACACCCUCUACUGUUCAAGGACCACAGCACACGUAUGUGUGACCUUUGCUGACACGUACACACCGUUUGCAUAACAACCUGGUUAAAACCCUGCAGACUCUUCUCUGGUGCUCUUACAAAAUGACAUCUUGAGGCAUUAAGAGACGACCAAAAGUUCCCCCGAAAAAAGGUAAAUAUAUUAUAUUGAGUAAAGAUGUGCCUAAAGACAUUUGUGUCCAUUUGUGAGACAUUUGUGUCCAUUUGUGAGACUGUAAGGUGUCUUUUUAAUCGCGUGCUGUGCCACUAGUUUUUUCAACAGUGUUUGAUGUAGUUGCAUCUGUGUUGGAGAUUGUCACCAAAUAGAGCCCCCCCCCCCCCCCAAGCGUGUUGAGAACUACGUUGGCCUUCGGGUAUCGUCUGCUCUUGUUUUCAGAACCGCAACAAUUAUUAUGUUUCAUUUACGUUACGUGUCAUUUAGCUGGCGCUUUUAUUCAGACCCAGAAUAACAAGUAACAAAGUGUAACAAAUUUCUACAAGUGUAAAGUGCUAUCGUGCUGUCUUGAAUGCUGAUAAAGUGUUUUUGGUUUGCGUCGGUAGCCGCGUAGACGUUGGGCGGUCUUGUUGUCACUGGGGGGGCUCAUUCAGUGGGGAUGUUGUUGCGUGUUUAGGCAGAUUAAUGCAGCGCGAAGUGAGCGGACAGGGACGUACGGUUUGUAGACUGGACCUCAUCUGUUUGCAGCACAGUACAAAUACCAGUGCUUUGAAAAGAAUGAGGAAGCCACUGGUAACCAGUGCACCAUAUAUAAGGUCAUUUCUCUUAUAUCUCUGCGUGUGCCCACACAGCGACACAUUGUGGCUGGAGACAAGUUUCAAUUUGGUUUCACAUUCAUUUACAUGCCAGUGCUUGUAAAUUGCACAUGCAGUACCAAGCGUAGUGUCCUCCAAAGCGAGCAUCCUAGCCCCUGUGUGUGUGUGUGUGUGUCUGCGUGUGUGCAGUGAGAGAGCAGCGUUUCAGGUGACCGCACGCUGACUUACAGGUAGUUUGGAAUAUUGUCAUGAGCCGCACUACUCCGGCUCUGAUGCAGAGCUUGCAGGAAUCAAUGAAUUAACCACGUUGUGGGAAGUUUACACAUUGGGAGUGAUUUUUGUUUUUCGUUCCCCAAAACAUUCAUGAAAGCAGCAUUAGAACAAUUCCACCAAUGAAAACGUAUUCUAACUUGUUUGUGUGCAAGUUGAAGUGAAAAAUGGUGAAUAGCAUUAAUGUUAGAAAUAGAGACACGCUGUAAAAACAAGCUUUAAAUGUCUUUGUUUGGUGUACACAUUGUUUUCGGUUCUCGUGGCUGGACUUCAGGCCUCCAUUCAUGGAUUAAUCACACACACAGACGGUUGCUCAUGUGCGAGCGAUCACACCACCGACUGGAACAGCGCGGGUUUCGUGAUCAGAGCCGACACUCGCCAGGUGACGCCUCCCGCCCUGCGGCCUACGGCACCGCAAAGGUUACUGUGCCUGUUGGCGUCAGCGUCAUGGCUGCGUGUGUGACUUACCCACGGCUUUGAGGGAGGUGUACUUGUUCAGUCCCGCCGUGCUGUGGUUCCUGUGUGGGUGGGGGAGCCCUUGUCCAAACGGCCCGUAAGCCGAGUUACUCAUCUGGUACUGUUCUGGUAGGAGAAAGGGAGACACAGGCAUUGUGAGUUGUUGUUCUUUUUGGAAUACUACAGAAGUCCAGAGUGCGUCGUGUUUCUUU